AAUGCAUUUGCCUAGUACGGCGAGUGAAGAGGAAGAGCUCAAAGUUGGAACCUGUUUGGCCUAGCUAAACCGGAUUGUAGACUGUAGAAGUGUUUUCCAGGCAAGCCGAGUAAAUAAGUCCUUUGGAACAGGGCAUCAUAGAGGGUGAGAAUCCCGUCUUUGGCUUGAGCAUUUGCCUUUUGUGAUACGCUUUCAAAGAGUCAGGUUGUUUGGGAAUGCAGCCUAAAUUGGGUGGUAAAUCUCACCUAAAGCUAAAUAUUGGCGAGAAACCGAUAGCGAACAAGUACCGUGAGGGAAAGAUGAAAAGAACUUUGAAAAGAGAGUUAAACAGUAUGUGAAAUUGUUAAAAGGGAACCGUUUGGAGCCAGACUGGCUUGUCUGUAAUCAAUCUAGGCUUCGGCCUGGAUGCACUUGCAGGCUAUGCCUGCCAACGACAAUUUGACUUGAGGGAAAAAACUAAGGGAAAUGUGGCCCACUUGUGGGUGUUAUAGUCCCUUAGAAAAUACCUUGGGUUGGAUUGAGGAACGCAGCGAAUGCUUUUUGGCGAGUUUUCCAGGAAGGUUUUCUGAGGUACUACGGUAUCAAGGUUGAUCUUUUUGGUUAUACUUCUAUUCGCUUAGGUUGUUGGCUUAAUGACUCUAAAUGACCCGACUGAAAACACGGACCAAAA
rnacentral:rRNA from 1 species